AGGUGGCACACAACAGGCAAUAUACAAAAGAGACUCUUAUAAGGAAAAGAGCAUUCUUAUUGUUUUCAGUUCUUCUACCACAAAGUUUACACAAGAUGUGCA